rnacentral:lncRNA from 1 species
UUACAUCUGCAACAGCCCUACUCCCAAAUAAGGUCGCAUUCUGAGGCACUAGGGGCUAAGACUGACACUUGAAUUUUGGGAGGACACAAUUUAACCCAUAGCAAUCCCCAUUUUGCAGAUGUGAAAAUAGGAUUAAACAAGUUAAGUAACUUCCCCCAAACCCACAGCUAGUAAAAGGGAGACGGAUUUCUGCCCACCUUCUAUGCCCGUGCGUUUACCUCUCCGAGAUUGGGCUGCCAACAGAUAAUCAUUGCUCAAGAGACUAUGCUUUCCAUGUAGGGAGAAAUGAAGAAAGAUAGUUUUAUACAAAUGCACAUGGUAAGGAUAAAGAUAAUUGAUGUAUCAGUACUCCCUGCCUCUCCCCCACCCUCCUCCUACAUUUCUAGUCCGCCUGUCCAAAGAAGACUUUAAAUAACUUUUCGUGGCAUUAAGAAAUUUACUUCUCCCUACGUCAUUUUGGCAUUAUCCUAAAAGACUUAACGAAGAUUUGAAUUGCUUUCAUUUACAUAUUUUGUUGAACUGGACUGCAUUGAAAGACACCAUGCAAAGACCACACGAUAUCAGAUUGGAGACUGGAACUGGGGAUGAGCCUAAACUGCCAUCUUAACCUCUCCUCUUCUAUUAUCAGAUGUUUUAAACCCAUCCUCUCAUCGUGUCCUUCCUUGAGACUUCCAACUUUAGAACGGAGAGGGCAACGCUCAAUGAGAGAAAAUGUAAGGACUGCCACAGAGUAAAUGAACACUCGAUCUUUGGGCCGUACCCAGGUGUUACAGAGAGAGGCACAGGCAGAGGAGGCAUGUCCAGAGGAGAACGCCGCACUCCGGGCCAAAUUCAGUCCCUUGCUUUGCUGGAUGGACAAAAACUAAAAUUAAAGCAAAUUUUGAAAUUAACAAAUAACCCUCAGAACACCACAGCUUGGGGCUGUGUUAAGUCUGGCUGAUACCACGCUCCUGAGGAUCUCUCCAAAAUUUUUUGGCGCUGUCUUUCAAUCCCUGGGACUCCUGGUAUUGGUCAGUUUACUUCUCUGUUCCAAGACACCUCAGUUCCAUCUGUGGGGUGAACACUGGGGCUGAUGGGGCAGGACACCCCAGGCUGUGUGGGGGAUACGUGGCCUCCAACCCAAAUAACUGGAAACAGGGCGAAAUUCAGGUGGAAACUUCUGAGCAGCAGAGAGUAGUUGGUUUUCCUUCCUUACAGUGACAUUGAUGGCUCCCCAAAGAAGCGUUUGUUUCCCAAGUGACAGCAGAGGGCACUAGAGUCUACCACACGGCCAGGGAGACUGCCUC